rnacentral:pre_miRNA from 1 species
GUCAGGAAGAGGAAGAAAAUGAGCAUCUAGGAGCAUUGGGCAUGGGAACAUGGAGGAAGGGCUAAACUAAUGUGUCCCACUACAACUAGGGUCCUACAUUUGUUUCUGAAUUUUCCCGAUGCCUCCCAUGCCUAUUGUUCUUAGGUGCUCCUUCCUCUUCCUUAUGAUC